CAGUCCCAGUCAGGACAUCACAUGACCAUGAGGGCCCCAGCUCAGCUCCUCAGCCUCCUGCUGCUCUGGCUCCCAGAUGCCAAAUGUAGCAUCCAGAUGACCCAGUCUCCAUCCUCCCUGCCAGUAUCUCAAGGAGAAACAGUCAAAAUCAGCUGCCAGGCCAUUCAGAGCAUUUAUAACAACUUACACUGGUACCAGCAGAAAGUAGGGAAAGCUCCAAAGCUCAUGAUCUUUAGAGCAUCCAAUCUGCAGUCUGGGGUUCCAUCCCGCUUCAGUGGAAGUGGAUCUGGGACAGAUUAUACUCUCACCAUCAACAACCUGGAGCUUGAUGAUAUUGCAACUUACUACUGUCAGCAGGCUUACAACAUGCCUCGCACUGUGCUACAAGGCAGAACGUAA